GAGGCCUUGGCUUAAUUAAAGUGUUUGAGUUGCAAUCAGAANAUGUAUUAUUUAUACAGGCCUUC
rnacentral:tRNA from 1 species